GUAUUUUCAAAUAUUAUGUGCAUGUAGGACUACAGAGUGCUGCUCCGGACACUGCAGCAUUUUCAAGAUCAGUCAUCAAAAAGCUGCUAUUUUUUCGGUGUUUGCCGAGUUCCAUCGCAUCACAAAUGUGAACCUACAAAACCAAUUCUACUGCGAGCUGGAUCGGUACACACCAAAAUUGAUCGCCUUGUACAGGCAGAAGGCCUCACGGUCUGGCAAGAGGGCAGAGACUCUGCGGCGGAUCCUAGGGAUUUAUGAUCUCCAGGUGAGUUAAGAUGAACUUGGCCAUGGGGACAACCUAAAC
rnacentral:lncRNA from 1 species